AUGGCGGCCAUUACCACCACAACCGCGUCCUCCUCCUUCCUCCACCGCCGUAUCUCCUCGUCACCACCAACAACCACCAUCCCGCUCCCGCGUAGCCACCUGGUUCCCUUCCACGCGCGCAACCGGUGCCACUACAGGCUCACCUGCCGCGCCACCGAUGUGUCCGGGGCCGAGCCCUCGGCGCCACCAGAGACCGGUGGGGGCAACAGCUGGUUACCGGUGGUGCCGCUGGCGGCGCUCCCGCGGGGAGAGCGCCGUGUGAUCGUACAGGACGGCGAGGAGAUCCUGCUUCUCUGGUACAAGGAUGAGGUCUUCGCCAUCGAGAACCGCUCCCCGGCGGAGGGCGCGUACACCGAGGGCCUCCUCAACGCCAAGCUCACGCAGGAUGGCUGCAUUGUUUGCCCAUCAACAGAUAGUACCUUUGAUCUUCGCACUGGGGAAAUAGAAGAGUGGUAUCCGAAAAACCCUGUUUUAAGGGCUCUGACACCUGUAUUGAGAAAACUAUUCGUGUACCCUGCAAAAACGGAUGGAGAAAAUAUAUACAUCAGCAUUAGGGGCGCUGCUAGCUCUGGUGGAUCAGCUGAGAUUCUGUUCAGCGGGAAAGCUCAACCAGGGAGUACUGCAUCUGAUGUCAACAUCGAAGAGGUUAGAAUGGUGGUCGAUGAAGGUGUAGGAGGUUUUGGUUUCACUGCUUACAAUGAACUGGUCAACGGAAAAGCUGCCAUAAUUGGCUUUCUAUUGUUGAUAGAUUUUGAACUUUUAACUGGUAAAGGCCUUCUAAAGGGGACUGGUUUGUUGGACUUCAUCUAUGCAAUUUCAAGUGCUUUCAGCUCGUAA
rnacentral:rRNA from 1 species